UCAUUCCUACGGGGGGCAGCAGUGGGGGAUAUUGCACAAUGGGGGAAACCCUGAUGCAGCGACGCCGCGUGGGUGAAGAAGCGCCUCGGCGCGUAAAGCCCUGUCGGCAGGGAAGAAAAUGACGGUACCUGAAGAAGAAGCCCCGGCUAACUACGUGCCAGCAGCCGCGGUAAUACGUAGGGGGCAAGCGUUAUCCGGAUUUACUGGGUGUAAAGGGGGCGCAGACGGCGAUGCAAGCCAGGAGUGAAAGCCCGGGGCCCAACCCCGGGACUGUCCUUGGAACUGCGCGGCUCGAGUGCAGGAGG
rnacentral:rRNA from 1 species